GGAGAUGCUAUGAACGCUAAUGGAGAAACUGCUAAUGCUAGCACGACCAGGACUCAGACUAAAGAGAAACUGACAAGUUCCAGACUGCUCUAAUGGGCGAAUUACUUUGAGUUAUUCUGUGUGAUACAAGACUCGGGAACGAGACACUAGAGAGUCACGAAAGACACGAACGGCCGAACACGGCAACGUGAACUCUACUCAACGAGCAACACAGACUCAACAACAUCAUCCGCUACACUGGUGAUCCCGAUCGUUCUGCUCGUUCGUCCGCCACCUGGCAUCCUGGACAUCCUCCUGAUCGUCGCACUUGGUCGUUCAUCACCUGGCAUCCCGGACGUCCUCCCGAUCAUCCUACUCGGACUUCCCACACCUGGCAUUCUGGACGUUCUCCUGAUCAUCCAUUCGGUCGUCUUCCACCAGCGCCCCGGCCGUGCAACCCGACCGUUCGUUCCGCGAGUUACGCCUCCUCUCCUCACUUCCUUUCAUGGUCCAUUAUGAGUUCUUACCAAAUGCGCUACUGCCCUCCAGUGGCCAGUUCUAUUGCUUUAAUAAUUGUGCUUUGGAGCAAAGUUGCAUCAGAACCGAGAGAUGUCUCUUGUGAAAAAAAAAAAAACUUAAAAGAUGUAUAAAUAGGUUUUUGGGACACUGAAACAAUUAAAAAUAGAACGUAUUCAUACGUUUUUGGGUGCAAAUGAGUUAACUUGGUGUGAUGUGAUAGUGUCCCCAUAAUGUUCGAUUCGCUCCAAACUGGUAGCAAACAUUUUUGCUAAAGAGUGUGUGAGACCUGAACACUAUUUUAGGGAAGAAAAUGGCUUUAAGAGGCGUUGUCAGUUUAAAUGUCACGUUCUUUUUAGUGUAUGUUGCUAUUUUUUUUUUUUUUUUUUCAAAUGUCUCCAUUGGUGGGAAAAUGUACUACAACAACACAAGGGAAAAUAGGAAGAUGAACAAAUUAAAAGAUGGUGAACAAAGCUGCAGAGGUGUAAGCUAACAGUUGCCAUGUUAGUUAAAUGAGAAAAGUCACUUUACGACGAAAACACGAGUAUAUUUGCUGUCAACGGAAAUAUUUUGGGCAUCAAACGCUAUGGCAGUUCUGUGCUUUUAAAGCCGGUUACACCUCCAAUCGCAACUGAGGUCUGCACCGGCCAAAGCGGUACAAUUUGCACUUAGCGUGUUCUUCUCUCAAUGCGACUGCUUUAAAUGUAUGGAAAUAGUUUUAAACAUGCCUCUAAAUAGAGCUUUGGUGCCGUGUGAGCCAGUUGCUCGAGAAAACAACAAACACAUGACAGAGGCAGUCAUUGUGUGCAGUAAAUAAACAGCCUUAAAAAAGAAAAAAAAACUGGCUUUCAAUGGCUCCCCUCCUACCUCUGAGUGGGAUCUGUAAAUCCCUCCAUUGAAGUCAGCUUAUUUCUUAGCAGAGCUUCUACCAUUUUGUAUGGAUCCUCCGGAAUCCUCUUUGCACACAAACACCCACAAUAGAUGGGCGUUAAAAAAAUAUAAUAAUAAAACAAAAAAGUCCGAGAUAUGUUCCGUCAUGAAAUUCAGUCUGAUUCAUAAUCAAUAUAUGGGAGGCGAGGAGGCGGGCUUCUAUUUAUGACUGUCUGAAGCAAAAAAAAGGCAGAGGAGACGCUUCAACUAAAAGAUGGAAACCGUCCCCGCCGUAUAUACCGAGGUUAAGUCCUUUAAUAUUUUUCCUCUUAAAGCCAGCGAGUGGUGGCUUUACCGAGACACUGAGAAAUAAAUAAACCGGGAUGCGCGUCUAAUUCUCUUUUGUGCCAAAUUCUGAGUAGUGUGGAAGUGGACGGCGAAGGGCUCAAUUUGUCUCGAUGUAAUUUAAUGGCCUAAACCUGUUAAGGCUUCACUCUCAUAAAAAGAGAUGACUAAAAGGGAUGUUGACUGCAAUCUUUUCAAGCAUCUACCCUGCACGAAUUUGAAUUGCCAGAGGUGGCUUGUUGAAAGGCAACAUACAGCAUUCAGUGGAAAACUGAGAAGAAGUGUUUACACAUAAAGACAUAGGUGGGUAGUAAUGCGCUUAAAUUUACUCAGUUACAUUUACUUAAGUAACUUUUGGAGAAAAAUGUACUUCUAAGACUAGUUUUACCAUGCUAUUCUUUUUACGUGAGUAGAAAUUUGAAGAAGAAGCGCUACACACAACAAGCCUGCGUAAUCAUUGCGGACUGCUGUGAAGAGCAUGGUAGGUGGGACAAAAAGCUGACAAUCAGUAAUGGCCAAGGAAGCAUUUUGUGUCAUAUAGCGACUGUUAAGUUGUGGCUACUCUCUCACUUAUUUCCCCAACUAGAAAGAGUCUUGGUCUUAAAACCAACUCAAAUCUUCCUCU